rnacentral:rRNA from 1 species
AUACUGGAAUUCUCGGUGGAGGGGUGAAAUCCGUUGAUAUCGAGAAGAACGCCAAAGACGAAGGUAAGUAUCUAGAACUAUGCUGACGCUCAGGGACGAAAGCUAGGGUAGCAAACUGGAUUAGAGACCCAGGUAGUCCUAGCUGUAAACUAUGAACACUAGCUGGUUGGAUGAAUUUCUGACCGGCGCAAGCUAACGCGUUAAGUGUUCCGCCUGGGGAGUACGGCCGCAAGGCUAAAACUCAAAGGAAUUGACGGGGAAACGCACAACCGGCGUCCCAUGUGGUUUAAUUCGAAACGAAACGAAGAACCUUACCUAGGUUUGACAUCCCGAUCGUACGUCUUGGAAACAAGAUGGUCAGUUCGGCUGGAUCGGUGACAGCUGCUGCAUGGUUGUCGUCAGCUCGUGUCGUGAGGCGUCCUUUUAAGUAAGGUAACGAGCGCAACCCCUGUCGUAUGUUAAAUGUUCAUGCGAGACUGCCUUGGUGCAACCAAGGAGGAAGGAGGGGACGACGUCAAAUCAGCAUGGCGCUUACAUCUAGGGCUACACACAUGGGGUAAUGGCGAAUACAACGGGUCGCGAGGGAGUAAUCCGGAGCUAAUCCUUUAAAAUUCGCCUCAGUUCGGAUUGUGGGCUGCAAUUCGCCCACAUGAAGGGGAGUCGGUAGUAAUCGCAGGUCAGCUAUACUGCGGUGAAUACGUUCUCGUUUCUUGUACACACUGCCCGUCAAGUCAACAAAGUCAGCAGUGCCCGAAGUCGGUACCUCCUCGGAGGCCGCCUAAGGCAAGGUUGGCGAUGGGGGCUAAGUCGUAACAAGGUAACCAAUCGAAUUCCCGCGGCC